AACAGUCAAUACUGUGGGGUUGACUAGUCUCAUGUCUGUAAAGGUUAGGCUGCUCGGCCCAACAGUCAAUACUGUGGGGUUGACUAGUCUCAUGUCUGUAAAGGUUAGGCUGCUCGGCCCAACAGUCAAUACUGUGGGGUUGACUAGUCUCAUGUCUGUAAAGGUUAGGCUGCUCGGCCCAACAGUCAAUACUGUGGGGUUGACUAGUCUCAUGUCUGUAAAGGUUAGGCUGCUCGGCCCAACAGUCAAUACUGUGGGGUUGACUAGUCUCAUGUCUGUAAAGGUUAGGCUGCUCGGCCCAACAGUCAAUACUGUGGGGUUGACUAGUCUCAUGUCUGUAAAGGUUAGGCUGCUCGGCCCAACAGUCAAUACU